rnacentral:rRNA from 1 species
CAGCCGCCGCGGGAAUACGAGGGGAGCUAGCGUUGUUCGGAAUUACUGGGCGUAAAGCGCGCGUAGGCGGCUUUUUAAGUCAGAGGUGAAAGCCCGGGGCUCAACCCCGGAAUUGCCUUUGAAACUGGAAAGCUAGAAUCUUGGAGAGGUCAGUGGAAUUCCGAGUGUAGAGGUGAAAUUCGUAGAUAUUCGGAAGAACACCAGUGGCGAAGGCGACUGACUGGACAAGUAUUGACGCUGAGGUGCGAAAGCGUGGGGAGCAAACAGGAUUAGAUACCCCUGUAGUCCCUGUCUCUUAUAA